UACGUAGGGACCGAGCGUUGUCCGGAAUCAUUGGGCGUAAAGAGCGUGUAGGCGGCCACUUAAGUCUUGCGUGAAAUCUUGCGGCUCAACCGCAAGCGGUCGUGGGAAACUGGGUGGCUAGAGUGCGGGAGAGGAGAGUGGAAUUCCUGGUGUAGCGGUGGAAUGCGCAGAUAUCAGGAAGGAACACCCAUGGCGAAGGCGCACUCUGGGAACGCGAACUGACGCUGAGACGCGAAAGCGUGGGGAGCAAACAGG
rnacentral:rRNA from 1 species